CUCCAAUAGCAGGACUCUUCAUCUCCUGUGCCCCAAUCGUUAAAACUCUGCGUAUUCCCAACUCCUUGUAGCACACUAGCACUCAUCCAGUCCACCGAGAAAUCAGAUGAAUCAGCAAGAUAAACAGGAACCAUUUUCUGGAUAAUUAACAGACACAAUUAGCUGAACCAAGAUGCAAGGAAACUUUGUUCUACUUUCGGAACUGCAACCAAAAGAACUGAACUAUGUGAUACAUGUGCGUAAUUUAAGAAUGUA